AGCCGAUCUAUGGCGCCACAGCCUCUACUACCUCACGUCCAUGGCGCUCAAGUGCGCUGUCGAGCUCCACAUCCCGGACGCCAUCCACAACCUGGGAGGCUCGACCUCGCUGCCGGAGCUACUGACCACACUGUCCCUACCCCAGACAAAGCUUCCAUUCCUCGGCCGCGUGAUGCGGCUGCUGGUCACAUCGGGUAUCUUCGCCUCCGAUGGCAGCAAUGGCGAUGGGGAGGAGGCCGUGUACCGUCUGAAUCCACUCUCCUGGCUCCUGGUAGAAGGUGUGGAAUCAGAGGACCACACCUACCAGAAGUACUUUGUGCUGGGUGCCUGCUCACGGCACUUUGUCGAAGCCGGCAUGUCUCUGGCUGAAUGGUUCAAGAAGGAUCUGGCUAUGCCAUUGCCGUCGCCGUUCGAGGAUUUGCAUGGUGUGCCUCCUGCCCAUGAGAGCACGAAGCUUCUCGAUGAAGAGCUUGACAGGAUUGUCGAAGAAGGCAUCGCGGCACACGACAAUCUGGCGAUCAGGACGAUAAUACGGGAGUGCAGUGAUAUUUUUAGUGGCCUACCCUCGCUUACUUAUUGCUGUGGUAGGCAAGGAAACGUCAGUGCAGCGGCGAUCGUCAAGGCGUUCCCUAACAUGAAAUGCACUGUGCUGAACCUCCCAAGGGUUGUUGAGACGACAGCAGCACCAGCUGAUGAUGCUGUUAGCUCUGUCACGAGUGAUUUGUUCCAGACCAUCCCACCUGCCAAGGCUGUGAUGCUCAAGGUAUAUAUGCAUAAUUGGGAAAAUAAAAAAACAGGGUGAAUUCUUUCUCACAUGCAUGCUUCAUUAUAAUAUAUAAAAAGAGCAAAAUACAUAUAGUCUUGUGAUGGUGCAUCGAUUUGGUCGAUCAGGUUUCAAAGUGCAUUUUUAGAUUCAAAACACCUUGAUCAGUGGUGCAUAAAUAAUCCAUACAGCAUCUUUUUAUGUUUAUAUUUGUAGAAAACCCCCUGUAUUUAUUUUGUUCAAAAGCUUACCUUUCCUCAUCUUUUGCAUACAAAUUGAUAAUUGCUGCAAAUAGCCUGCUACAAAACAUCGUAAGUGCUCUGCUAUAGGGUUUUUAAUGGUCUACCGAUAUAAUGUUGUAAAAUAUUUCGCUAUUGCUACUUGCUUUAGUUCCAUUAAGCACUGCUAUAUAUUUGGCUUAGCCAUGAAAUAUUUUAGCACCACUAAUCAUGGCCAAAACACAAUACUGAUUCUUUACUCUAGAGGAGUAUAUCUUUCAAAACAAAAAACUCUAGAGGAGUAUAAUCAAUGCCUAUUCAUCAUGUUCGUUACUUAAUAACCAUCAAAUAAUUAUGGAACCAUUAAAUAUAUUGAGUAUGUUAACUGAUUUAAUGGAUGCUAACUACUAAUUAACAUGGAGACUUGUGUUCCUAAAGCAUGUACAUGUGUUUGAGUAUUUAUAUUCAUAACAUUUCUUUUAUAUAAUUCUCUUCAUGUUUUAUACACAAAGUCUAAACUAAAUAGCCUCCGCUAUAGACCGUUGUAGCUUUUAUAGCUUAUAGAGGAAAAUGCCGCUAAAUGUCAUAGCCAGCUAUUUAAAGUAUUAAAAUUAACAUAUUCAAAUAUUAUGGAUUGUAAAACCUGUAUUAAUUCGGCAUUAUAUUCUGUAGCUUGUACUACACUUCUGGAGCGAUGAGGAUUGUGUGAAGAUCCUGGAGCAAUGCAGGAAAGCAAUUCCUUCCAAAGAAGAUGGAGGGAAGGUGAUCAUCAUAGAAAUACUUCUCGGGCCUUAUAUUGGGCCAAUAAUGUACGAAGCCCAGCUCCUGAUGGACUUGCUCAUGAUGGUGUAUACCAAAGGCAGGCAGCGUAAUGAAAAUGACUGGCGCCAGAUCUUUACCAAAGCUGGUUUCUCUAACUAUAAGAUUGUUAAGAAAAUAGGAGCUCGUAGUGUCAUCGAAGUCUACCCGUAAGCAGGCUGCACACACCUCCAAAUAUCAAUAUUUUAAUAAAUAAAUGUGUGGUUCAGUAUUUGCUGGAUGGUGUGAUGUGAGGGUAAUGUAAAACAAAAUAAAUGGAGCGCCUCAUUUCUGAUACAGAAUUUCGUGGACAUAGAGCGGCUGAGCUGUUUAGCUUUGUUACUUUGAGAUCCAUGUAGCUUCUGUUUUGAAAUGUACUGGAGCAGUCUUGGUGCUUCCAUUGUGCUAUGAUGAUUUGGAUGUAUUUGGUACCGCUAAUUAGAACAUAUUUGAUGUGGUUGCAUGCUUUUUGAUGUGUAUGUCGUCAUAUAAAAGCACAACAUGUAUAUAUGCAACUUAUUUAUCAUGCUAUAACAUUGCAUGGCACCACUAUACCACAUACAUACUCUUAUUUAAUUUGUUCGGUAUUGUUUGUCAUAGAUGUUGUUGCACUUUUAUUUUUUAUACAGUUGGUUAAAUUUGGGAUAGUUUAUAUUUGGCUUGGUUUGUAGCAAUUGUAUUUCAAAUGGAAUAGUAGUCCAUUCACGUGUUGGCUAGUUCGCAUGCAUGCAGGGUGCACGCUAAGUUGUUUAUGCAUUAAUCCCAUGCUUAUCUGAGCCUCCCCCACUUGGACAUGUAUGUGGAAAUUGUGGAUGUGCAUGUGUUCGCAUAAUAUCGUAUAUAUAAGCUCCGAUUUUUUACUGUAUCCAGAAGUUGAGAAUAAUCGAGUUGCCUAAUUCGAACAUGCAUGCCCAUCAGCAGUACAUAAUCCCUAAAGUUGAGUAUUUCGGCUGCUCGGCACGGUAUGGCUCGUCGUGCCAUCGGGCCGUGCCGCCCUAGUCCACUGUGUCUAUGUGACGGCCCAGGCAUGGCACACAUGCCGUUUUUUGGGCGCUGCUAGCCCAAAAACAUUGGUCCAAAACCGCAACGGGCUAACCCGCAUCCCGCUAUAAAAAAAGCACCAGCUUUAAUUCAAAUUUCAACAAGUUCACAAGGUCUUCAUAGAUUUCAACAAGUUAACAAACUAUCUUAUAGAUUUUUCACAUAUCAAAUAUUUCACGGACUUCAACAAGAUCUUCACAUAUUUCACAAACAAACCUUAAUGGCUUGUGCGGCACCAGCUCGGCGCACCAAGCAUCAACUGACGACCUGCGAACAGAGAGAGAACAUGGUUAGGGUUAGGGUUCAUGUGGAAGGGAGGAAGAUCUAGGAUUAGGAUUAGUGUUACAAACCUGCACAAGCCGAAGCUGGGCACCGGAGAGACAAAGAGGAAGACGCAUGGUGGCAAGAGCACCUCCCCGACAGACGGUGACAAAGAAAAUUGACUGGUGGAGGACAACAAGCGGUUUGAGAGAGGGUGCGAUGAAGAAGUGAGUAUGAGAGGAGGAAGACAAGAGGAGAUCUGUAAGAUCCGGCAGUGGAGAGGUCGUCGGAGAAGGAGAUGAUGAUGAGAAAGGCGAUGGCAGUGGCAGGGUGUGUGGCGAGAGAGACUGAGAGAAAGAGCCCUAUCCACAACGGGAGGACAAGACGAGAUCUCCAAGAUCUGGUGGUGGAGACAUCAUCGAAGAUGAGCAGGACGAUGAUAGUAAUAGGCGAUUGGCUGUGGUGUGACACGAGGUGAGUUGGCGAGAGCCGAGAGUGAGAGCGUGAGCAUCUUUGCGAGGAGGCAUUAGGAGGCAGAGCGACUAGGGAAUGAGAUUAGAGUUUGGACAGUGGGGCAUGUCGUGGAGGCUUAGCCUCCCUGCUAUCGCACUGAGGUCGUGCCUCCGGGCCGUGUCGUGUCGCCCGGCAGGCCGAGAUGGCAGCUCAAGCAUGGCCUAUGGACCAGAUCGCGCUUGGCAUGGGCCCGAUGGAGGCUUGGCUGCCCCGGCUUGGGCUGGGCCAAAAAAGGGGCUCCAUGCCAUGCCACAAGGCCCGGGCUGCAUGCUCAUUUAUAAUAAUCCCCCACUAUAGCACAUAAUAUCUCUUUUUUUCAGACGGUUCGUGGUCUUCCUUUGCUUGGGCUUGGACAGUGUAUGUACUAGACCUUCUGUUGAUGGGCCUGUAUCCUAGUCUAGUGACGGGUUGAUGGGCCUCGAUCGUGGGCUCCAGCAGGCAGCAGCCCACCCAUUUUAUUAAUGGGUAGAAAAUCCACUGAGUAAAGCGAUUGCCCAUGCAACCCAAGUCGUUCAUCUGAUGAGCUGGGAUUAUUUCCUCUCUCAAAAAAAAAAAAAACUGAGCUGGGUUCGUUAACAUCUGAGGUGUCACCAUACAUGUCCGUUUGAUUUUGAUUGCAGUACGCUGCAUGCGACGACCAUGAAUUAUUUGCAGCCUCCCGUCUCGCCCUAGUAGGCCGAUGACGACAGGGCUGACGGGUGUAAUAAUGUAAUAAUAGUAAUAAAAUAAAUUCAUCCACCACCAAUUAUUUGCAUGGCUGCUUGCUUAUUUUAAUGCGUGUCACUAAAUUCAUCCAUCAAAUGUCGCAUCUAUGGGAUCAUAUCUCUUCGUUGGACCAUUCAUGCAACUGGAUCAAAUGUAUGCAUAUGGCGAUCACCCGUUCUUGGUCAUUAUUGCACAGAGUUGUUAGAUGGGCACCGGCAGUCUGGCACACUGUAGUAAUGCGAGGCCAGGUCACGGCGAUCCAUACCGUAGUUUUGAUCUAGUAUCACCUAGAAAUUUCCUUCAAUGCCUUUUUACUCGAUCUUUUUCGAAUUAUAAGUUAUUCUGAUUUUUUUUAUAGAAUAAAUUAUGGACCUAGGUAUAAGUGAAUUUCUAGCUAGAAGCAAAGUAAAAAUUAUAUAUAUAUGUAAAAAAGCUCAGACUACUAAUAAUUCAGCACGGAUGGAGUAUAUACAUCCAUUAUGUUCCAUUACAUCUUAUGGUUUCUCUCUAACGGCUAACGCUAUUGAUUCUAUUUUUCCUUUCUUCAUGUGUGCCAUUGAGGACUCACAAGAGUUAGUCAAUGCUGAAAAAGACAAUUGUACCAUGUUGUUUUUUGUGCAGUAAAUCAUUCCAACGAGGAUGUAGGUUAUGUAAAGAAUAAUUUAAGGAAUGAGAAGAAGAAUGGCUAGGAAGGGGUAAAAUCAGCAUACCAGUGUCUAUCAGACUAUGCACCAGAUUAAAGGCAGUGGCACAUAAGAAAAGCGAAGUUCUCAAUUGAUGACAAUGAAUAUAUCUUAUAUAUAUAUAUUUUGAUUUAUAUAUAGUAGUGCAAAUAGGCUAAUGAACGGAUCCUAUUUUUAGAAUGGCACAUAAUUAAUAUACUGCUAUACAAUACAUAGGUUGCCAACCACUAGUGAUCAUAGGUUGGCAACCUCUUCACCACCACAUGUGGUACCAUGCGCCUCUGAGUAGAUAACAUGUGACCCUGGAGAUAGAGGUGACAAGUGCAUAAGCUCUGGACGUCAUGACAUAAAAACUAGAUUGAAUGAAAAUUUCAGGUCUAGCUUUAUUUUCACUGUCGGUUCAUAACUCUGACCGGCAAUGGUGUACUAUCAUUGACAUUCUUUGAGAACAAAGAGCAGUUGUGAUGAACUAUUAUUGCCAGUUCUAACAUAACUGACAGUGACGUAGCUGGCAUUUUAUAAUAAUGACACAUUUAGAUAGCUAGGCCACCUAAACCAAAUUUGUUUUUAGAUUCCCCGUCACAUCGAAUCUUGCGGCACAUGCAUGAAGCAUUAAAUAUAAAUAAAACCAAAAACUAAUUGCACAGUUUACCCGUAAAUCGUGAGAUGAAUCUUUUGAGUCUAGUUAGUUCAUGAUUGGACAAUAAUUACCAAAUAAAAACAAAAGUACUACAAUAACUAAAACCAAAAAAAUUUCAGAACUAAACGAGGCCCUAAUGUGUGUUAGGAUACGCUAACUUCAAUUCAAUUCAUCCUGAUGAGGGAUGGGUUCUUCGUCAACAUGCCAGAGGAUAAGAGUCUCUUCUAGCCCAACUACGUCCGUGCACUUGUAAUAUUAUCACUGGCCAGAAGUUAACAUAAUUUUGUUAAUUAAAUCCACUAGACAGAAAAGGAUUUGGAAAUAUCAUCAGAUGAUUCAAGAUAUUGAUUUCAGAGGAUCAGAGCAUCUUUUAUGACAAGAUGGCAAAAUGCAGAAAAUUAAAUUGUGGACAUGUUUGAUAGCAACUUUUUUGAUUGCUUGAUAUAUACAACAUUAUAAAAGACAACAACUAAUUUCAUUUUCACUUGUAGCUUUUCAUGCGCUAAUCAUCCACCGAAUAUAUCUGUAACAUCAUCCAUUUCACUUGGUGUGAAUUUGCCUUUCUUCCCAACAAUUUAUAGCACCAUCAGUAACAUCACUGAUUUUACCAUGCAUGGACGUGCUAGAUAGUAAACCAGUGCUACUACACUUGAAUGCAUGGCAACUCCAUGUGCCGUAUUAAUUUUGCUCUUUACUGAGCAAGAUAGAGAUAAGGAUUUGAAUUCCUGCAAAUAAAAAAAAAGUUCAAUACUGGCACUUGCCUUCCUCGAGUUCCAUAGUAUACUGAUUUUCUGCGAUACACUCAACCACAAACCCAAAACUGCUUCUCACGCGUUGCUUAAAUUAAUGGCGUCUUCGCUUCUGUGAUAUACCUACACCUAUCUAGACCAAACCUAUCAGAAGCUUGUUAGCUGAAUUUCUAUUUAAACCCUGGUAUAGAGCAAACCAUGGAGCAUUGCAAACCAACACACACACACACAGACGGCAACAAGCCGACACGGAUAGAUCAAUGGCCGCGUCUUCUCAUGCCAUAGCCCCCACGGAUGCUGAGCUGCUGCAAGCUCAAGCUGAUCUAUGGCGCCACAGCCUCUACUACCUCACGUCCAUGGCGCUGAAAUGCGCGGUCGAGCUCCACAUCCCCACCGCCAUACACAACCUAGGAGGAGCUACCACACUGCCAGACCUGGUAACCGCGCUAUCCCUCCCGAAGACCAAGCUUCCAUUCCUAGGCCGGAUCAUGCGGUUGCUGGUCACGUCAGGUAUCUUUGCUUCUGACGGCGCCAAUGGCGAUGGAGCGGCGGCGGAGGCCGUGUACCGCCUCAACCCACUCUCCUGGCUCCUGGUAGAAGGUGUGGAAUCCGAGGACCACACCUACCAGAAGUACUUCGUGCUCGCCACCGUCUCCCAGCACUACGUUGACGCCGGCCUGUCUCUGGCCGACUGGUUCAGGAAGGAUCUGCCUGAGCCGCUGCCAUCGCCUUUCGAGUGUUUACAUGGCGUCCCCCUCGCCCAUGAGAGCACAAAGCUCCUGGACGAGGAGCUUGACAGGAUUGUGGAAGAAGGUGUCGCCGCGCACGACAAUCUGGCAAUCGGAACCAUAAUACGGGAGUGCAGUGAUAUUUUCAGUGGUCUUCACUCACUGACUUAUUGCUGUGGUAGACAGGGAAACAUCAGUGCCACGGCGAUCAUCAAGGCUUUCCCUGACAUCAAAUGCACUGUGCUAAACCUUCCGAGGGUUAUUGAGACAGCACCAGCUGAUGAUGCUGUUAGCUCUGUCACGGGUGAUUUGUUCCACACCAUACCACCUGCUCAAGCUGUGAUGCUCAAGGUAUGAGUGGAGUGACAAAAUUUGGGGCGAAUUCUCUCUCACACACACAUGCAUGCUUCAUUACCAAAAAAAAUAUAUUAGAAGUGGAAUUUAAUUUUGUUUGUGUGGCAUACGGCGUCUUUUGUAUACAUAUUGACCAUUGUUAUAAAUAGCCCACUAUAGCAUCAUUACUUCAUUAGUGCUCUAUUAUAUAGCCUUUUCAAGGUUAUACCUCUACAAUAUCGUCAAUUGUUCUCCAAUUGCUGUUAGUGAUGUUUUAGCUUUGUUAAGAACAGCUAAUUGGGUUAGCCACAAAAUAGUUUAGCACCGCUAAUCCCGGCC
rnacentral:lncRNA from 1 species